ensembl:processed_transcript
GGCGGUGCAACAGAUGACAUGGUUGAGGAUCUAAAUUACACACGGUUGCAGACCCGGCGCCCGUAGACAGCGAGAUAUCCGUGAAGAUGAGCGCGGGGACUCAGUACAAUGUAUCAGGGAGACUCUGAAGGGCCAUUGUCCGACUGAAGAUACACGGACCAAAAAAUACAGUCUAAAGUAGUACAUUUUGAGAGUCAUUGAAAACAAAAUGAUCAAAGCUGAGAGCAAGGGUGAACGCACCCUGCGGAGCGCGUCCCCGCAUAGAAAUGCCUACAAGUCGGACUUCCACGCCAUUAAGUGCUCUUUUGAUGGGACCAAAU